rnacentral:rRNA from 1 species
CCUACGGGAGGCAGCAGUGAGGAAUAUUGGUCAAUGGCCGAGAGGCUGAACCAGCCAAGUCGCGUGCGGGAAGACGGCCCUACGGGUUGUAAACCUCUUUUGUCGGGGAGCAAAGAGAGUCACGUGUGACUCAUUGAGAGUACCCGAAGAAAAAGCAUCGGCUAACUCCGUGCCAGCAGCCGCGGUAAUACGGAGGAUGCGAGCGUUAUCCGGAUUUAUUGGGUUUAAGGGGUGCGCAGGCGGAGGUGCAAGUCAGCGGUCAAAUUGCGGGGCUCAACCCCGUACUGCCGUUGAAACUGCAGCCCUUGAGUGCGCGAGAAGUAUGCGGAAUGCGUGGUGUAGCGGUGAAAUGCAUAGAUAUCACGCAGAACUCCGAUUGCGAAGGCAGCAUACCGGCGCGCAACUGACGCUCAUGCACGAAAGCGUGGGUAUCGAACAGGAUUAGAUACCCGAGUAGUC